rnacentral:tRNA from 1 species
AGAAGCUUAGGUUAAUAGACCUAAACCAGAGGCCUUCAAAGCCCCAAAUAUGAGUUAAACCCUCCUAGCUUCUG